UCGACGAGGGCGGCGAGAUUCGCGCAUCGACGUCUUGAGCCUGUCCAAGUCUUGUUGCUUCCUCAGAGAUGUGCGCGCCCGCUUUCGAAAACCAGAAUGGAGCGCCGCUAGAUUUCGUGCUUUCCGCGGUCCGUCGCCUCCUCGUCGACACGCGGCAGCAUCGAUGGCCCGCACGAAUGUGUUUCGGUUUCCCCGGCAGUAAGUGCGCCCCCACGCCGCUCUCGAUCGUCGGGAUCGCGGCUCUUCUUCCUGGCAAGCUGCCCCGCCGCUUUCGCGCUCGACUGCCCCGUCGAGGAGAGGGGGGGGGGAACGGAUCACGCCCGGCACCACCCAAACAGGACCGCGUCAAUCGGCAGCUGCAACGGGGGACCUCCUCGCCCGCACAUCGGCUGCGGGGAUGCACCUGGACCCCUCAUCGCCGCGGGAGGCGAGGGCUUGUUACCAGCGCGGCUUCACCGUGCCAUGUGUGCUUCGCGAAAGCGUCGCCGACGCGACCGCGGUUCUGCCAGCGUCCUCGGAGCCUCUUGACUGCGAUACCGCGCCGGAGUGCGAAGCGCGCGUUUCAAAACCACUAUCUCUCGAGGUGACGGUCGUGGACACUGCACGCCACGGUGAACCGAGUCUACUCGUCCGCUACAACAGAAGCAGCGUUGGCUGCGGUAUGGCAGCUUCAGCGGUUGCAGGUGGACUCUCCGGCUAGACCGCGCGCAGCCUCUGCUGGUCAUGCAUCGCGAGGCGUCAUCGGCGUCCCAUCAUGAUCGACCCCAAGGUGUUCGUCGCACUGCUCGUGCUCUCCACGGCGUUCAUCGUUGCCGCCAUCGUGGGCGCAGUUUGCUGUCUGUGUCGUGUCCUCAAGAAGGACUCUCGCAGGAGGCUCAAGGACGACUAUGUCAUUGUACUUGACGGGACAGAACCGCCGCCUCCGUAUACUUGGAGGGGUGUCCGCUCGGAUGGACGUCGUCAAUAAAUAGUCUCCUCUUCGCCACGGGGACCCCCCAAAAAAGGCUGGAAGUCUCUUGAGAUCAGGAGCUGCUUGCACAUCCAGGUGGCACCGUUUUAGCAGCGAAUCACACCCAGGUUCUGCAAGUCACUGAAGAUGGCCUCUCACAGAUGCACGCUUUUCAAUCGUUCCCACACAAUCGCAGUUCACGGGGCUAUCUGCUCACAUGUUCAUAAGCAGUAAAACUAUUUGCGACGUGAAUAAACUCUGUUGUGUUCCUUAUCCUUUUAAA
rnacentral:lncRNA from 1 species